rnacentral:rRNA from 1 species
GACGAACGCUGGCGGCGUGCUUAACACAUGCAAGUCGAACGAAGAGCGACGGAAGCUUGCUUCUAUCAAUCUUAGUGGCGAACGGGUGAGUAACGCGUAAUCAACCUGCCCUUCAGAGGGGGACAACAGUUGGAAACGACUGCUAAUACCGCAUACGAUCUAACCUCGGCAUCGAGGAUAGAUGAAAGGUGGCCUCUACAUGUAAGCUAUCACUGAAGGAGGGGAUUGCGGCUGAUUAGCUAGUGGGAGGGGUAACGGCCCACCAAGGCGAUGAUCAGUAGCCGGUCUGAGAGGAUGAACGGCCACAUUGGGACUGAGACACGGCCCAGACUCCUACGGGAGGCAGCAGUGGGGAAUCUUCCGCAAUGGACGAAAGUCUGACGGAGCAACGCCGCGUGAGUGAUGACGGCCUUCGGGUUGUAAAGCUCUGUUAAUCGGGACGAAAGGCCUUCUUGCGAAUAGUGAGAAGGAUUGACGGUACCGGAAUAGAAAGCCACGGCUAACUACGUG